rnacentral:rRNA from 1 species
AGGGUUUUCCCGUAGGUGACCUGCGGAAGGUCAUUAUUGAAUUAGCGAGGGCUGUCUGCUGGCCCCUUCGGGGGCAUGUGCACGUCCGAGCCGUUUAAAUCAACACCUGUGAACUCACCGUAGGCCUUCGGGCUUAUGUAUCAUAAUAUACUCAGAUCAUAGAAUGUAUGUUUUGCCUUUAAAAAAACAAUCAAAUACCACUUUCAACCACCGAACUCUUGGCUCUUGGCUCCAUGAAAAACGCAACCAAAUGCCAAAAGUAAUGGGAAAUGCAAAUUUUCAAUUAAAUCUCCAAAUCUUUAACCCCCCCUGGCCUCCCUGGUUUUCCCAAGAACCAGGCCGUUUUAGUGGCAUUUAAAUCUCCACCCCCGCGGGUGGGUCGGGGUUGGACCUUGGAAUGGGCUGGCGAAAGGCGGCUCCUCUUUAAAUGCCUCUGGGGAAGAAAACCUUUUUCCCCCCUCUCCCGGGUAACGGGGUUGCCUCUCGGUCUUUAAAGGGUUCGCUUAUUAUCCUCCUCUGGGACCAAAACCCAAUCUGUUUUGAACUCCAAUCAGGGAAGAAUACCCGGUGAACCUUAGCAUAUUCAUUAGCCGGAAGAAACCUUUUUGAACGUUCGAUCUCAAAUCAAGUAGGACUACCCGCUGAACUUAAGCAUAUCAAUAAGCGCAGGAA